UACAGAGGAUGCAAGCGUUAUCCGGAAUGAUUGGGCGUAAAGCGUCUGUAGGUGGCUUUUUAAGUCCGUUGUGAAAUCCCUGGGCUCAACCUGGGAAUGGCAGUGGAUACUGGACGGCUAGAAUGCGGUAGAGGGUAGUGGAAUUCCCGGUGUAGCAGUGAAAUGCGCAGAUAUCAGGAGGAACACCAAUGGCGAAGGCAGCUCGCUGGGACGUGACUGACGCUGAGACGCGAAAGCGUGGGGAGCAAACAGG
rnacentral:rRNA from 1 species